GACGAACGCUGGCGGCGUGCCUAACACAUGCAAGUCGAACGGAAAGGCCCUGCUUUUGUGGGGUGCUCGCGUGGCGAACGGGUGAGUAACACGUGAGUAACCUGCCCUUGACUUUGGGAUAACUUCAGGAAACUGGGGCUAAUACCGGAUAGGAGCUCCUGCUGCAUGGUGGGGGUUGGAAAGUUUCGGUGGAUGGGGAUGGACGCGCGGCUUACGAGCUUGUUGGUGGGGUAGUCGCUAACCAAGGGUUCGACGGAUAGGCGGCCUGAGAGGGUAGACACGGUCAAGAGUACUAAGGGACGGCGCAGUGGGGAACAGGAGACAACGGGGGAAAGUAUGACACAGUGAGGCGGAGCGUGAGAAGAAGGUGUCCCGUUCGGAAAGACGGCUUAGGUGGGAGGAACGGCUGUCACUUGAUACCAAGCUGGUUUGACGUUAAUAAGUGAAGAAGCACCGGCUAACUACGUG
rnacentral:rRNA from 1 species